GUGGGGAAUAUUGCGCAAUGGGGGAAACCCUGACGCAGCGACGCCGUGUGAGGGAAGAAGGCUUUCGGGUCGUAAACCUCUGUCAGAAAGGAAGAACCUCCCAAGUCCGAAUAGGACUUGGGACUGACGGUACUUUCAAAGGAAGCACCGGCUAACUCCGUGCCAGCAGCCGCGGUAAUACGGAGGGUGCAAGCGUUAAUCGGAAUCACUGGGCGUAAAGCGCGCGUAGGCCGCUUUGUAAGUCGGACGUGAAAGCCCUCGGCUCAACCGGGGAACUGCGUUCGAUACUGCGAGGCUUGAGUCCUGGAGAGGGUGGCGGAAUUCCGGGUGUAGGAGUGAAAUCCGUAGAUAUCCGGAGGAACACCGGUGGCGAAGGCGGCCACCUGGACAGGUACUGACGCUGAGGCGCGAAAGCGUGGGGAGCAAACAGGAUUAGAUACCCCAGUAGUCC
rnacentral:rRNA from 1 species